AACGAACGCUGGCGGCAGGCCUAACACAUGCAAGUCGAGCGAAGCCUUCGGGCUUAGCGGCGGACGGGUGAGUAACGCGUGGGAACGUGCCCUUUGGUACGGAAUAGCCCCGGGAAACUGGGAGUAAUACCGUAUGUGGUCGAGAGACGAAAGAUUUAUCGCCAAAGGAUCGGCCCGCGUUGGAUUAGGUAGUUGGUGGGGUAAUAGCCUACCAAGCCGACGAUCCAUAGCUGGUUUGAGAGGAUGAUCAGCCACACUGGGACUGAGACACGGCCCAGACGCCUGCGGGAGGCAGCAGUGGGGAAUCUUAGACAAUGGGGGAAACCCUGAUCUAGCCAUGCCGCGUGAUCGAUGAAGGCCUUAGGGUUGUAAAGAUCUUUCAGUGGGGAAGAUAAUGACUGUACCCACAGAAGAAGCCCCGGCUAACUCCGUGCCAGCAGCCGCCGUAAAAC
rnacentral:rRNA from 1 species